AUCCUCAUUUGUAAACUACCUGAGUUUGAGAGAAAUACACAUCUUACUAAGUUAAGUGAACCUUGUGCUUGUUUUCCUUUCUUUCCGUAUUUUGCGCUUCCGUGUGAGAGCCAAGGAAAUUAUAGGCCCGCGGGAAGGUGUUCAAGAUUGAACUAUAGCACACAUAAAAGAAAUACAACCUCGUCUCCAGAAAAGGCUCUAGAGGCAACGGGCCGGCUACAUACUCCACCCCAGCGGCUGUGGGUAGGUCAACCUCCCACCAUGCUGCCGGGCCUAACUCCUCUGGUUCUUCCAAUUCGGAAAACUUCAAAAUGAAAAUUCUCACAGUCAACGGAUGAGAGGAUUUAUUAAGAAAAAUAUUGGACGUUACUACCAUUGAACUAGGGGUUGUUUUCAUAAUAACAACAACCACUGGGACCUUAUCACGCGCCACAAUCCGCCUCCCUACCAAGUUAGCGAACCCAAAUUUGUUAGUUGUGUAGGUAUACUAAUAUUUCUAAUAUAAAUAGGCUUGGGCCAAUCCAAACUUGGUUAAAUAGGCCAAAUUUGUUCUGAAAGAUUAGUCUAUUGGGAUGAAGAUAUAUAUAUUUUUAUAUAUAUACAGGCCUAGGUCUUGCCUACUUCUCAUCAUUUUGUAAACCCUAAAGUCUUGCGUCUUCCUUCAUCUAUUCUUAAUCGGAGGCCAAAAGCAAGUCUGUGGUCCAUUUUUGUAGAGGUUUUCGAACUAAAUUUCUGAUCUAAACCCUAAAGUCCUGCGUCUUCCUUCAUCUUUUGCCAUUCUUAAUCGGAGAUACUUUACAAAGUAGGAAGGUUUAAUUUUUCCCAUUUUCUUCCUCAAUCUAUGGCACGCACAAGGCAAACCCCAUACGUCUUCAGAAUGUUACCCAUGCUAAGGCUGCGGGGUGCAUCCUCCACCCAAGCCGCUGUGGGUGGGUCGACCUCCAACCCUGCCCCUGCCAAUGUGGGUGGGUCGACCUCCAACCCAGUCGCUGUGGGUGGAUCGAUCUCCACCCCAGCUGGCGUGGGUGGGUCGACCUCCAACGCUGCUGCCGGGCACAACUCCUCAGAUUCUUCUAAUGCCGAAAACUUCAAAAUGAAGAUUCUCUCAGUCAAUGAAGGAGAGGUACUUAUAUAUUUUGACAUACAGAUGAUUUCCCAUGUUCAAACUCUUGAGAUCACGUGUUUUUGUUUACUUUGAAUGAUUUGCUUGCACAACAAGCAUUUAUACGUGUACCGUGUAAUGUUAAGCCACACGCCGUGAAGGUAUAGAUCAUUGCACUUGCCAUAAAUUCCUAUACUCGUAAUUUAGUAUGUAGCUACAUAAAUCAACUGCAUUGAUUGUUUGCUUUGAUGAUGAUGCUUCUUCGCAUAUUUAUCUUUCCAUGGCAGUUAAACAAUACUUUAUUUACCUUGAUAAGAGCUUGUUUUAUUCAUACCACUUUCCACUUGUAAUGUGCUGAACUUAUUGGCAUAUUUUUCAAAAUCUAUUCGCAAAAAUUGUCGAUGCUACUACCACCGGACCUGGGAUUGUUUUCGUAAUAACAAUCACUGGGACAUUAUCCCACGCCACAAUCCGACUACCUGCGGAACACGGUGAACCCAGAAUAUACGAGGGUCCGUUUCAAAUUCUUUCAAUGGUCGGUUCCUUUGUUCUAUCUAGAGGUGGACUUGAAAGUGGCAAUGAUGGAAAGCUGAGUACAGCCUUACUUCGGCCAGAUGGAACUGGGUUUGGCGGUAUCGUAGCAGGACCUAUUAUCGCUGCAUCUUAUGCACAGAUCAUUCUUGGCUGCUCGCCCCAUGACGAGGGUGAAUCAUGAGAGAAGUAGAGGAGACCACAUGCAGAGUCCGAUUCUUCAUAAAUGGAACUGUAUAUGGUGCUUGUAAACUGAAUAUGUUGUCUUGAUAUUAAUUCUGUAGAAGAUGUUGUUUGUUGUAUAUUAUGCACAUAUUGUAGCAUGUUAUUUUGUAUUUUGUGGUGAUCAUCAGCAAUAUAUAUUAUUUAAAUUUUAGUUUUACUUUACAGCAUUAUAAUCAUGGUUUUUCUGGCACCUUGGUGUCCUGGCAGUGCACCGGUAGCACCAGGACAGCUCGCCUCACCGUUUUGCAAGGCUGGCAUCUUGGCAUCACAAAACCCAAUAUGAAUUGUUUUGACUCAGUACAUUACCAGACUUAAAUUUAACCCUCCCCCAAAAACCUAGGUUGCCGCUACAUUUCUUUUUUCCCUUCUCAUCCUACUUGCCUCGGUCUCCACCCACCAUCACUGGCCGCCGUCGGUCAGUAGUAAAGGUUAUUUGUAUGUAAGGUUUAUCUGCAUGUUUAUUUCUCUUUUACUCGAAAUUUAUUUUGUUGAUUUUAUCUUAUUUUCUUGAUUUGAGAACUUUAUAGUAUUUUUUUAUAAUAAUAAUUAUGUAUAACAAAGCAUUGUCUACCUGUUUAGUUAUGAAUUGAAUUUAACCUCAAUUAAAGAGAAAGAUCAAAGGGAUAGGCCACUAGUUAAACAAAUUGAUAAUGAUUAAUAAGACAUAUGUGUAUGCUUAUUGGUCUGGUGACAAUGGCUUCACUUAGAAAUAAUAUUAUUGGUUAUGGAUGUAAAGUUUCGUUGUAAUCCCGUAUGUCAAAUACCAAUCAUGAGUCAUAGGAAACACAUAAACACCUUGACUUGUCCUCUCUAUCACUUAAAAACUCGCUUACACUUCAAAAUCACUUCUAUCCAUUGUUUCAUCCAAUUUCUACCCCGUUAGACAUAUUUUAUUAUUUUUAAAGUUGGAUUAAAUUAUGUUUUAGAAGCUAGAUUACUUUUCAGCCCUUUGAUUGUAUUAAUUCAUUGUACUUUUUUUAAGCAAACAUUUCAAAUUCUUAUUUUCUGCACAAGUCAAAGAAAUUUUUUAACUUUGACGAUGUUUUUAGAGUUACUAUAGACAGACCUAUGAUAUUUAUUUUUAUUUUUAUACAUAUAUUAUAUUUUAUACUUUAUCUUAAAUAUAUUUUAAAAAUCUUGCAAAACCUUUUCAUCAAGGGCUUAAUCCCCGAAAUCAGUUAUCUCCAUAAUUUUGUUACUAUUUUUUGAAUAGUAGAUCCGGUAUUCAAUUGUGUAAGAAUCUUGAAUUUCAUGAAUUUUCACUUCAUGAACACCCUGAACACUCAAUGAAAUUUUAAGACAAGAAAUUAGGGGGAGUACGGUAAAUUUCGACAUGUGAUAUUUGAGGCCCAAAUUUAUCCGAAGCCCAAGUGUAAGAACCAAGCUAAUUUUCUAAGGCCCUACUUGUCUAGCUGAUCCACGUCUGAUAUUGAUCCACAUCCGUCUGAUGGAGGUUUUUUUCGUGACCAACAUGGAGCUAAGUACUAAUCAGAAGGCUAUCGAGAAUGAAGGGACUAAUAGUAACCUCCCGGAACAUUCCAGAAUAUUCCAGGAAUGCCAGGAUUGCCCCUUGACCAAGUUGAUGUCUAUCCAAAUAGACAGAUUUUAUCCUUAUCCAUAUUUAUAUAGAUAGAACUUAUCCGGAUAUACUUUAACAUGUGUUAGGCCCAGCCCAUUGUAGAGUCUCUAUAUAUAGAGGUGUCAUCCUCAUUUGUAAACUACCCGAGUUUGAGAGAAAUACACACCUCACACUAAGUUAAGUGAACCUUGUGCUUCUUUUUCUUUCUUUCCAUAUUUUGUGCUUCCGUGUGAGAGCCAAGGAAAUUAUAGGCCUACGGGAAGGUGUUCAAGGUGACGAACCAUACAAGCCAUUGAUUCAGAUCUAAUAUAUCUAAUAUACGUUGUACAUGCGCAGCCAUUACUUAUUUAUAUCUUAUGUUAUUUUCCCAUUCAUAUCUUCUCCCUUUCUCUUUAAUCUUCUCAGUAAGGUAAGUUCACUCGGUUCUUGUGAAGUUUGAGAAUUGGUGAUCUUGUUUCCUGUGACGAGCAGACUGAUCGUGUCUCAUUCAUCCCUCUUUUUUAGUGUUCUUUGAGUGAUUUUGUGAGUGAUGUGUUCUUGUCCACUCUUAGUCAAAUAAAUCUAAGGUCUGUCUUCGAAAUAGCUGUUGAUCGAUAGUUGAGAGAGGAUAAGGGCUAUCGAGUUAUUUGGUUGCAUCUUUAGGUGUAGAUUCUUGUCAUCCUGUGUUGAAGUUGUUUGUAAGUGGGUUUAUCAGGGGCUGAGUUACAUUACAUUUUUUUCAUUUGAUUCCGUGUGGUUUUCAUUGUUAAAAUCGGUUUAUCGGUCUAUAUUGUCAUUACAGUAACUUUUCAAUGUUGGAAGGUUUGAUUUUUCAGAUUGAACUAUAGCACGCAUAAAGAAAUAAAACCUCGUCUCCAGAAAAGGCUCUAGAGGCAAUGGCGCCGGCUGCGUAUUCCACCCCAGCGGCUGUGGGUGGGUCAACCUCCCACCCUGCUGCCGGGCCCAACUCCUCUGGUUCUUCCAAUUCGGAAAACUUCAAAAUAAAAAUUCUCACAGUCAACGGAGGAGAGGAUGUAUUAAGAAAAAUAUUGGAUGUUACUACCACUGAAGCAGGGAUUGUUUUCAUAAUAACAACCACUGGGACCUUAUCAUGCGCCACAAUCCGCCUCCCUGCGCAAGAUGGCGAACCCAGAGUAUAUGAGUUAUACGGCCAAUUCCAUGUGAUGCUAUGAAUUUUACGUUCUUUUAACCAUAAUCAAAGAUUUAUUCUUCAAGGUCCGUUUCAAAUUCUUUCAAUGGUCGGUUCCUUUGUUCCAUGUAGAGGUGGACUUCAAAGUGGCAAUGAUGGAAGGUUGAGUACAGCCUUACUUCGGCCUGAUGGAACUACACUUGGGGGUAUUGUCGAAGGACCCUUGAUCGCUGCAUCUCCUGUACAGAUCGUAUUUUCUUGCUCACCCCACGGAGAGGAUGAGUUUUGAGAGAAGCAGAUCGUUUGUGAAUCCAUCGAUUGCAAAUCCUCUUAUCACCCCACAUAAAAAUCUCGGUGGUGCUUCAAAGCAUAGUUCAAUUGUCCAUAAAUGAAGUGUAUAUGUGCUGGUAAACUGAAUAUGUUCGGUGUAUAUUUAUUCUAUAGAGGAGGUUGUUGUUGGUUGUAUAUGAUGCCCAUGUUCUAGCAUCUUAAUUUGUAUUUUGCGGUGAUCAUCAACAAUAUGUAGUAUUAGUAUUUUAGGGUGUGUUUGUUUGUGGCUUUGUAUUUUUGGGAUCGGAUUUUUCAAUAGUAAAAAGUUGAAUUUCAAUA